rnacentral:autocatalytically_spliced_intron from 1 species
UUAUGACCCUGUAGAGACUUGGCCUUAACUGGUCGGAGUGUGAAGGAAGACUUCAUGCUAACACGCCGAACCCCCUCACCAGUUUUAGAAUUAGAUAUUUCUAAAACUUAAAACUGGUGAGGGGUGAAGAUAUAGUCCGAUCCUUCCGGUAACGGAAGA